GAUGAACGCUGGCGGCGUGCCUAAUACAUGCAAGUCGAACGAAGAUUGUAGCAAUACAUUCUUAGUGGCGAACGGGUGAGUAACGCGUUGGUGACCUGCCCCGAAGUGGGGGAUAACAAUUCGAAAGAGUUGCUAAUACCCCAUGUGAUCCUCCGGUCUAGAUGCCGGUUGAUUAAAGGAUUUAUUCGCUUCGGGAGGGGCCUGCGUCCCAUCAGCUAGUUGGUAGGGUAAUGGCCUACCAAGGCUAUGACGGGUAGGGGGCCUGAGAGGGUGACCCCCCACACUGACACUGAAACACGGGUCAGACACCUACGGGUGGCAG
rnacentral:rRNA from 1 species